ACAGAUAUUUUCGCUUUCUCUCUCUCUCCACAACACGCGUUUCCCUCACGGUACUUUGCACUGUUUGUGCAACCCGCUUCCCCUUUUAUCCCCCUGCACUUAAUGGCUUAAUGAAGCCCAGGCUUGCCCCGUUGGGGCAGGAAGUCCAUAUAAGGCUCGGGGGUGGAGCCAGCGGGCUGCAACAUAUCUGCCCUCAAUUACCACUCCCCUCACCUCUCCCUGCCGUCUGCCACAAUACACUUUGUUAGUAUUUGGUGACAUUGUCUUUUAAUUGUUUAACUUGAAUCAAACGCUUGGGGUGUUCCUGUCCAGACUGUAUUUGGGCAUACAAGGGGAGGUGUGUAAUGUGGAAGGCUUGCUCAGGAUUGCAUUUAAGGGAAGUCCAAAGAAACAUUCAGGAGAAUCUGCUUAACAGUUCUCCUGGUACCACCGUCGAAGGUGAAUCUGCUUGUCAGUUCUCCUGGUACCAUAGUCUUCUCAUAUGAGUAUUUUGUAAUUUCAGCAUGCGUCAUUCGUCUCUUUGUGUUCCUUUUAUUUGUCUUUGUAUGUCUUUUCUUAUAGAAUAGCUGUCUUUAUUUGUCUUGUUUUGUUAAUGAAAUAUUUACCUCUAACUGCCUGUCCUUGGUUAAUGUCAAUGGUCAUAAUCAUUAUAAACAGUUUUUCCUUUUCAGUGCAUCUAACAUGCGUGGUUUGCAUAUACGCUGAACAGGGUGUGCAUCUCUGCAAGGACCAGUCAAUGUAUUGGCCUUAUAUACGGUUUCGGGGUAACACCAUAAUUGGGUUACUCACUGGGCAUAGUGAUAAUUUCACUGACCGGAAGUGCAGCUGCUCCGAGACAGAUGUUAGUUUCAAUGUCCAGAUGGAUCCUAGUAUUAUUUUACAUAAAUAGUAAUUGGGUCAUAGUCUGGGAUAUUUAGAUAGUUUCACUAACCAGACGGAGUAACCUUAGUGAGUGCUUCCUGGGAGAGAUGUUAGUUUCGGUACCCAGACAAGCAUAUUUUACAGGUUAAAGUCGCUUAUUCAUGGCGUAACAUUAUUUGCAAGAUUCCCAUAUGAGUAGCACCUUUACCUGCCAGGAUAGAAGGUCUUAGUGUCAGAGAACAAUUAGAUGAAUGCCUGGCAGCAGUAGAUAGUCUUGUUAUCUACAAGACUUGCCACCCACUAUUUCAGCACACCGCAGUCAAUACACGUAUACGCAUACCUAUAUUCGCACAAACAUCCACAAUACAUAUUUAUGGAGUCAGAUAAACUUGGUUUUCCUCAUUGCAAAACAUAUCUAAAUAAACUUCUUAAUCUUCUUAAUCACUUGAUCUCUUAGUCCCUGUCAUUAAUUUUAAAUCCUUACAGUUUGGUGUCUGGAUCGAUGUGAUUGGCAGGACACUAACUUUAAAGGAGUACCAUGGUGAUUUUCACACUUUCUCGGUUUUAUGUGCUAUUUGCACAAGAGGCAUUGAAGAAACACAAUGAGCAAAGUAUUAAAUAUGUCCGUUCUGUAUUCUUGGAGAAAUAUGCGUUUUAAAUUCAUCGUCUUAUUUUCAACCGGUUGAGAAAGUUGUCAUUUUGCUACGUCAUUAAUACAGUAACCACUCCCAUUUCCACGCCCCGUAAAGAAAUCUGACAGGACACACCGUCCUGCUGUUCAGACAAUGCAAAUAUUUGACUAACGUUAGGUUCACUUAAAUUAGAGUGCCUUUAGAUUAUUUCUGGUUAUAUUCAUUUAGCUAGCUAGCUAACAUUAGCUAGCUAGGAGGUUUGCUUUCAUAAGGCAAUGUUAUCGAUAACGUUAGCUUGCUAGUUUGCUUUUAUGAGGACGUUAUAGUUGUGCUUUUAUCUUAACUUGGCUAGCUAAAUAUCAAAAAUUAUCAUUAGAUAUAAGUCAACGUCCUUACCUUAGCUAUCUACCAAUACUUGAUAUACUAGCCCUACUAAGCUAGCUAGCUUGUGAAAAUUCAGUCUCCCAAAGAGAGCGCAUAUCAUGGGGGUAGCUAUGGUAACGGGGCACGGUCUGUCAAUCAUAGCUAACUGACAGUUCUCAUUACCACGCCCAGACGGUUCGGGUGAAUUUUUAUCGUGGGAAAUUUAGGCUUAGAAAAAUACGUUUUAAAGUACAUUGAAAUGACUGAAGAAUAAAAAAAUUAUGCACAUUUGUUUUGUUGUUGCCUGAAGACAACUGGGAAGUGUCACGUUCAACCACCAUGGUACUCCUUUAAACCCUUACAUCACAUACCCCUACCACCCGACUUAGGCCGGGGAGCUACCCGGCCGAUAACAGACUCUCUCUCCCCAACCGGGAGAGGUAGUCUGCCACCACCAUCCGCACCCCCAGCCUAUGGAUCACUUUAAACUUAUAGGAUUGUAAUGCUAGUAGGGCUGUGCCCUAAUCGGAUAAAUCGGAUUCGGCAGUUCAAUAUGACUAUUCGACGAUCCGUUUUAUAUAGAAAGGUCUAUAAGACUUUCUGGCAAAAUAGUACAUUGGCAUGCGUUUCAGUGCUGAUUUAGACCAGAUUAACAUAGUCAAGUGCAACAGAGUCAUAUUAACAUUUUUUUGAGCAUUUAAAAUCAAUAAAUCCGUGAAGACAACUGCAUAUGACACCAGAUGGCUGAAUUGCCGACAAUUUGUCGGAAUCAUGUGUUGGAAUAAUGAGACAGUAGGCUACACAGAUAUUUCUGGUUAAACAUAGCUCUUAUAACUUCUUUAUUUUGCUUUAAACAUUAAAAAUGAACAAACAA